GACAGCUUUUACCCAGGGAAGAGUGCACUAAGGUCUUCAGUCUUUUCCUCAUCGUUUGUUCUGUGUUUCCACCCACAUCCAGGAAAAGACAGAGAUUCUCCUUAGCCCUCCUUUUCUUGCUGAUGGAUUUACAGAAGCAUUUUUAUCCUCUUUGCAAUUUUCUAAGAAGAAAUUCUCUACAGUGAGGCUGUUGAGGCACUGGGAACAAGUGGCCCAGAAGAGCUGUGAAUGCCUAAGGAAGGGUUUGCAUCUGCCCCUGCUCUCUCCACUUCCCUUCUUAGUCAUGAUAUGGGGGACCUGAAGCAACUCCAGACUGAGGACAAGGUGAACAUGGCUCAGCCUCACACAGAGGUUUUCUGGGCUGACUUCCCAUUAUCUCCUACCCUCACAUUCAGAAGAGCUCUCUUUCCUCCAAGCUCAGGAAGAAGCUGCCACCUGCAUGAAGAGUAUUUCAAGAAUAGGAUUUAUGCAUUAGUCUACAUAGUUACAGAUGUACAUAUGUUCUGAUCUUUAAAUAUAGUUUUGAAUAAAUGUGUUUUGAUUGUAUCUUUAAAUUUUGAUGACAUAUUUUUAAUUGUAUAUAUUUUAUUUUGAUGUUUUUUGAAAAGGUAAAUAAAUAAAUAAAAAAAAAUUCAAUAAA